rnacentral:lncRNA from 1 species
CGUUCAAUGUGGGGGGCACAUAUAGCUUCGGCCUUCGAUUUCUAUAAGGAUCUGACUCCUCGGGGCAGUGAGGGGAGCAUACCUUUUAAACUUUCAAGGAGGGCUUUUAGGACGUCGCAAGCUCAUUUCAUGCUAAGAUGAAGUACUCUGUGAUGCCCCUCGCUCUUCGCGCCUUCUUUUGCCUCCUCGGGGAGGUUUUCAUAAACAGACUCACGAUGGGAGGCCCUAGCUUCCUCAUAUUGACAUAUUUUUCUGCUCAUGACAACAUUUCAAUGAAGUUGGCAGGGUAGCGCUUCUUUAAGAAGAAGAAGAUGCGUGACAAUCAUAAACCGUUCUUCAAUGCCGACAUCGCGACUGAUUCAUCCAAGUUGUAGACCUCCAAUGUCGCCACAUUGAAGUGGUUGACAUGACCUCUAAGGAACUCUUUCUCCCUCUGCUUGAUGUCGAGCAGUGCAUCAGAACCAUGACGCUACCUUUAGCUAGAGAUGAAGUGUGCCAUGAAGAUACAUUCGAGCUGCUCAAAAGACUGAAUAGAUUCAGGCCGAAGCCCUAAGAACCAAAACGAAACCACUUUAUGAAGAGUUGCGAGGAAGGCCUUACAAACAGCAUCGAUGGCUCCAUGCGCGUCCACACACCAAGCUCUCCUGUUCUGGAUCAACCUCAUCCGCAAGCCAUCCCGUGAUGCAUAUCUCUUCCUCGGCUUCAUCCUCCCGUGAACCCCGACUCCUUCAUCCACAGAAAAGAUCCAGCUUUAUCCCUUCCGAAAUGCUCUGCAUCCUUCCCACGUCUCUCUACCAAACAGAGCCCAUCUACAUCUCCCAGCCAUUUCCUUCUUUCCGUGACCCAAUCCUCUCAAACAUUCCACCGUCCGCUUGGAUCUAGGUCCCAUCUCCUCCCACGUCCGGAUACUCCGCAAGCUUCAUCCUUAUCCCGUUCAUAAUCAUCUCUUCAUCUCCACAGAUUGCGUCUCAAUCAAACUCCCAAACAUGGAUCUCCUUCUAUCUUGGUCCCACGCUUAUCUUCCCAUUCCGGUAUCCAUCUUCCUUCAACCCCUAUUCCCAUGCGCUCCCAGCCAACCGAAAAUCAAACUCAAAGUCAUUCGUAUCCCCUGCUUCUGAACAGAUCUCAACUCCUCUUCACCCACGGAUCACUCCCUUCCCAGCUCCCAUGCAUUCAAGACAUUCAUCUAAAACCAAGCCUCAUCCUCUUCUCCCGUAUCCAAACAAAAUCCCAUGAACCCAGCAACCGUAUUCAUCCUCAUCUCCCGUUCGCAUAUGCUGUGAUUCUCCCCUGUUUCACGUACAUCCCGUUCGUGAGUUCCUCCCAGAACAGCCGAGAUCCUCUCCGCUUCAUUCCUUCCAUCAAUCAAAGCAACCC